rnacentral:rRNA from 1 species
UACGGAGGGUGCAAGCGUUAUCCGGAUUCACUGGGUUUAAAGGGUGCGUAGGCGGACAGGUAAGUCAGUGGUGAAAUCUCCGGGCUUAACCCGGAAACUGCCGUUGAUACUAUUUGUCUUGAAUAUUGUGGAGGUAAGCGGAAUAUGUCAUGUAGCGGUGAAAUGCUUAGAUAUGACAUAGAACACCAAUUGCGAAGGCAGCUUACUACACAACGAUUGACGCUGAGGCACGAAAGCGUGGGGAUCAAACAGG